rnacentral:tRNA from 1 species
UCCCGUGUGGUCUAGUGGCUAGGAUACGCGGCUCUCACCGCCGAGGCCCGGGUUCGAUUCCCGGCACGGGAA